rnacentral:rRNA from 1 species
ACUGUAAGUUGGUAGUGAAAGCGUGGGGCUCAACCCCGGAACUGCCUUUGAAACUAGGUUGCUAGAAUCUUGGAGAGGUCAGUGGAAUUCCGAGUGUAGAGGUGAAAUUCGUAGAUAUUCGGAAGAACACCAGUGGCGAAGGCGACUGACUGGACAAGUAUUGACGCUGAGGUGCGAAAGCGUGGGGAGCAAACA